GCCGGUGUAGCUCAGUCUGGCAGAGCAGCUGAUUCGUAAUCAGCAGGUCGGAGGUUCAAGUCCUCUCACCGGCACCA
rnacentral:tRNA from 1 species